rnacentral:miRNA from 1 species
UUGUGUUGGCCAAGAGAUUCGUUCAGGUUUUUCUUUAACAUCAGAGGAAAAACCCAAAUGAACUUUUUGGUCAACCCAA